ensembl:lncRNA FAM245A family with sequence similarity 245 member A
GAGCUGACUCGUGGACAUUCUCAUUUCAGGUGCAGCUCAGUUGCCGUGAUGCUCCUUGAGUCAAUGAGCUCUUUGGUCUGCUCUUCUGCUCAAGCAGAAAAUGAUCUGCGCUUCACCCUUGAGAAGCUGACAAGAACCACAGGCUUCUUCGGGCAGGUGGUGGAACAUGGGUGUAUCCUGCAGGCUCUAGCCUGAUUUUCUGGCUCAUAAGGCCAAAGGGAGCCGGAAAGGUCCCCACGGCAGGACUCAUGGUGGAGAGAGAAUGGUCUGGAGGAUUCAGGCCUCUGCACACUGUGUCUGGGUCCCUCCUUAAAGAAUGAUAAAGACAAGCAAAGAGCUUGAAGCAGCCUGGAGUCCAGCCAGAAACCUUUAACUGAGCUUUAAAGGAGAUGGUCACAACACUUUUCAGAAUACUGGCAAAGGCCUCCUGUGGCCAGGUUUGUCCUGGGAUGAGCAAAAUUUAAUGUUAACCUGCUGUAUCUUUGCUUUUAAUAUAUCUGCUUGCCCACCA